rnacentral:tRNA from 1 species
CUCAUUUCUUAUCAGGGUCUGCUACAUAAGCAGUUGGGCCCAUACCCCAAAAACGGUAAUAUGUACC